rnacentral:lncRNA from 1 species
UUCUGGGUUCCAGGUUAGAUACAGCCUCUGACAGGUUAUAAUUGUAGGUGAGCUGGAACCAAAGCUAGUGUUUUAUGUGAAGACUUCUGCAGGUGGUGGCUUGGACAAGGUUAGCAACCCAAAGCAGUAUUACUGCUUAUUCCAUCCAGGAGGAAAGGCACUGCUCUGCUGCUCCUGCUGCUGCUUCCUCCUCCUGUGCUGCUGUUUGAUCUGAUGCAAGCCGUUGCAAGUGAGGCCAUUGCUUGCUAUCAGAUACCUAAUCCCACGCAGAGCUGUUGGAGCAGCUACAUAGGGCCUCAGGGUGAUGCUGGUGGCAAUGCUGUGUGGCAGGAGAGGUUCUUAGUAGCACUUCACAUCUGGAGCUUCCUCCUCCUCCACCUUUCUCCCCUCCUCCUUUCUCCCCAGGCAUAUUCUUUCACAUGGCUUUCCUAUAGUGUGCAGCAGCUCUGGGGAGCUGCAGAGGUGCAUAUUGCUUUGCAAGCAAGCCAUGACGAGUUGUUUAUGGUUUUUAUGUAAAAAUGGAGACAUCUGAAAGGAAACUGUAGACAAGUAGAUGUCAUUUCUUUCAUUGAUGUUGGUGGUCUAGCCUUCAAGCUAGUUCUUUUAUUUGCUGCUUCUCUCCAAGCCCUGUGAUUUUCAGCCUACUUAUUUUUUUUUUAAUUAAAAAAAAAGGCAGGAUGUUGCUGCAUCUCUGCUCCAAAUACAGCGCUUCCCUUUCUGAAGUGCAGGGUUUGCCAGACCUCCCCACCUUUCUCCGGUCCUGGUGAGCUGCUCAUGCCCCAUCUGUGCUUUAAAAGCUACUUGUUUUUAAUCUACAAGGUUAUUUUUAUGAUAAUGCAGUUACAGUUCUGUGAACUGUCUUAAACUGUCAUGUCUCCAUUAUUCCCCUCCUCUGGAAAACACCGGAGAUGGCCUUUGCAGGGAUAUCUUAAGGGAAUAGACCCGAGAGAGUUUAGGAAGUGUUGAAAAGAGAAGCAAAUAAGUUGUAAUUAAAAUGAGUCUGGGCACUGAGUAAAGGAUCCUUAAAACUCUUUCAACUUAAAAUGAGUCUGCAAGAAAGCUGGGCAGGGUUUUGGGGUAGAAUUUCUAACCUCAGAGUCCUUGCUGCUAAAAGCUGCUUCUUCUCUUGUGGCUUCAGGCUGGAGCAUGAGUUUCCACAAUUAUACUGUGAACAGGAGCAUGAGCCUAUAUAUAGGAUAUAACACAUAGUGUUAAAAAGCUGCAUAUGGCAAAUGAGCACCCACACAUGACCUAAAAAUACACAGUGCAGCCCAAUUUGUCAUUGAAUGAAGUCAUGCUUAGGACCGCAGUGCUCAAACAGUUCGGUUUCCCCACCUCCCUUCCCCUCCCUCCCCCUGUAAUUUUUUUUAAACUAUUCAAUGCAAAUUUUCUGAUGUAGAGUGUUGGUGUGGGGCUGCCUCCAUACCCAUCCAUUUGCAAUCUGUGCAUCAAUCUAGGAAGGCUCUACAUGAGUUGCUUUAUGGCAGAGAUUUUGGUUUAAUUUCAGGCCAAAGCCACCCUUUUUUCUCCUCAAUCUCCAAACUUACUGAAUGGUUAAAACACACAAACAGAGGAAGAAUGUAGUAUAGUAUAGUGAUGUCCUUUAACAACUGUAUGUUACUGGGGAUGGGGGCAGCUUGCUGUGCUUGCCAGUGCUUCUCAGUGAGCAUCAGGGGAUGGUCAGAUCCUUCAUGAGGCAGGUAAAGCAAAAACCUGCCACCACUAGAUGGGUAGAUAAGUCUGAGAUAGAUAGAAAUUAAUUCCUGUGAAAUACCACACAUUGAAUCUUAAUCUUUAAUAUACCGCUGGAUACUGUUACCUUAUUCUUCCAGCUCCCAUCCUUCAGAGGUUUCUCCUUCAAGAUCAUCUAAAGCAAUCUCUCUUAUGCAGAACACUUAGAGGAUAUUAAAUGAGCUAUCUUACUUCCUUCUUGCUUCAAAGCCUCCUUGUUUAGAUUCAGAGGGGAAAUAAUGGAAUCAUAAUCCCUCUCAGUAUAAAAAUGUUAGGAUUAAAAAGGAAGGCACUCAGUUUGUUAAAUUUCUUCAUUCUUUCAGAGCUGCCGCCAGCAGUGUCUCUCCAAUUUGAUCGUUCUUCAAGAGAAAGCUGAAAAUGAAAUAUUUGCGGGCUUUCCUAAACAGAACUAGAUUGAAGGAAGGCAGUGGUUUUCUUUUUUUCUGUCUCUCUUUAUCCUUAAAUGCAGAAUGUUCUGUCUGUUCUUUUGAAACACUUAAUCUAGUGAUAAGUACAUAACUAUAGUACUUCUUGGUGCUUAUGUAAAUGUGUUCAGCAACAAAAUUUGGAAACUGUUAUGUCAGGUUUUAUCAUCCCAUGCAUUUUCUUUAAAUGACAGGUGCUCUUUUAACAUUGUUCAGAAAAAGCAGAAGAGGAAAACUUCUGUUUCUCAUUCACAGUAUAAUGUAUUAAUGACACCGAUAAAUUUCCAGAAGGUUUCAAAUUGUGGGGCAAUGAAAAAAUCUAUUAAAAAACUCAUGGCAAAACUGGAUGGAGGGAUGACACUCAAAAUGGAAUAUAUGGAAAUGUUGAGGCAAGUACAAAAGUUACUCAGGCAUGUUUGGACUGACUAGGAGUGGCAUCUAUCUGGCUUUAUUGCAAAAAUAUUCCAGCACAGGUCUGGGGCUGGAUGCGUGCAGCCCCCUGACCUGUGUGUUGAGAUGGCAGCUCCUGGCUCUUCUGGACAGAAGGAGUCAGGUGAGGUCAUUGCUCUGCUCGUAGAGAGGAAAGAAAACAUUUAGACUUUGAAUUUGAAUAUAACUUUUCAACAGAUCUCCGGUGCUUUUUCCUGCCUUUGAAUAAAUUGGAACUUUGCGAAAGCUUUCCCUGUAUCUUUUCCUGCUUCUGAGAGCAGCUUUAAGUAACCAUUCUGAUGCUCCAGGGAUCUCCCACCUUGACUGUUUCCAGCUUAUCAUUUACUGCAGUGCCAACUUAUCCUUAGGUACCCCACCUUGUUUGCUUGCAUUGCACUUUGUUCAUUUAUCUUCUGGAUUCAUCUUCAGAACAUGAUGAAAAUUCCGAGCCCCAAUAAGCUUUUGGCAGCUGGUCAUCCUAGUUAAAGCAGUUCCAUAUUUCUGGAAGAGAUGCCAUUUUACAGAGUGUAAAGUAGGGGAUACAUAAUUCCAGAAUACCUGUUUUGUAGAACUGUACAUCAGCAUAGCAAAAUAAUCCUAUUCCAGCUAUGAACUUCGGAUUGCAACAUAAGAAGGUCUUGCUAAGAAAAAACAUCCAAACUUCAAAUACUGUUAUAGUCACUGUGAGUCAGCUUGUGGAAUUAUAUGCUAUAUGUUAUAUCAACACAUUCAAACUUUCAACAGUACCAAGGGAACCAAAAUUCCUUUAAAAAGGAAUUUAGAUUUAAAAUUUGGAAACUUCUUGGAAGUUGAUAACCAUGGAAAGUCAGUGUUCAGUUAAUUGGUUAACUGUGUUGGCAAAGGAGUCUGAAAUCCAAUACCAUCUGUUUUGCUAGAUCUUGCCUUAAAACAACAACAGACUGUGUCAAUCUUGAAGCACUUUUUAAUAUAUUUUUAGUUGCUGCAGAACAAUUCAUUUUUGAAUCCUUCUUUCUUUGCAUCUGAAGGAAUACAUUCUCGUCCAAGUCAAAGGAAAAUAUCGCAAAUGGAAUAAAACUAUGCUGGGAUGUGAUAGAUCUUUGAAUCUUCUGUGAUAAUAUUUUUUGAGAUGUGAUAGUAUAUCAAAGAGAAAAUUAAUUAUGUAGUGAUUUUUCCUAACACCUGGAGCUCAUGCUGUUGCUGCUUCUGCUGCUGGCUAGCUGUUGUUUUUCAUAAAUUACUCUGUAGGAAAAAAAUUAAAUCCAGUGAAAUGAUGGAAAAAAAGAAGUCAUGGCUAGAAAGGAGGAAAGAAAUAUCUAAAUAUUUACCUACCACCCAACAAGUUCAGAAUCUUCAGGAAUUUCCAUUUUUCUUGGCUUGUUUCCUUGGCUUAAAGCUUGGAAAAGAAACCUGCCUAGAUAUCUGGGAUUCAAUAAUAAUAAUAAUCUCAGCCUAUGUCCUGGGUACUUAAGUAAAAAAAAAAAAAAAAAAAAAAAAAAAAAAAAUCCCCUAAAACACAAAAACAAGAAAACCAACUCCACAGCACCCCAAACAGUAAUAAAUGAAUUAAUCUAGAGAUGUUUCCAAUCAUACGCAUUAUGGUUCCAUCUCAGAAUUUAAUGAAGGCCUUUUAUCCACUGCAAGGGACUUCCACUGAUGCAUACAAAUAAGGUCAUUCAGCAAGAUGCAAUAGGGAUAUUUUCUCUCCGUUAUAUUUUGAUUAUGGCACCUCUCAUUUUGACUUUGGGUUUGCACAGCGUACAUUUACAGGUUCUGUGGAACUGUUGUUUGCAGCAGCAUUUUUUAAACAAUGAUGGGGGAUUAGAAAAGAGUGGGAGGGUUCUUAAUUCUUGUGGAAACAGGCUCAUCUUUCAGCCAGAUUCAUGAGAUGCAAAGUGAGUGGCAGCGUCAUCUGGUACAGUUUCUUUCUUCAGAGUCCACAGAGUUUUUUCUGAGCAAGAGCGCUUUCAGUUUUCGCACCCACAAUAACCAUGAUUUAUAAAUGAUUUUUAUAUUUGAUUGCUAUGUAAUUUCUGAAAGCUCUAUCAGGUUCUAAGAAAAAAUAAUCACAAAAUAAAAAUUGUAAUUCCACGUUUGUUUCCUCUGUUUUCAUUUUUCAGUAUACACUUGUUAAUGUAUUACAGUAGCAAUGCCUCUAACAGUUUUGCAUCAGUGCUGACUGGUUGAUUAAUUGUUCUUGUUUUCUGAUCUUCUUUAAGGCGAGUAGAUGCAAACAUCAGGGCUGCGAUAGCUUUUCUAAGGGAUUCCUCUGUUUUCAUCUUCUGUGGAAUUUUCUGCAAUUAGAUGUGUUAUUUGACUUUGAUCAUCACCAAACAAUGUAAAGGAUGAUCCUUGUUUUACCAUGUGUGCUGUUGGUCCCUGGCCACCAUAAUUUUAGUAUUUUUGCAGUCUAAAUAUAGUCUUUUUUUUUUUUUUUUUUUUGUAUAUAGAAAAAAAAUAUGUAUUUCUUCUGUAGUGGAGCAUGGGAGUUUUUUCUUGUUAAUUUGUUAUGCUUGAGAGUCAGGAGGAAACAUUAUGAUUGUCAGUCUCUACUGCUAAAAUAAACACCUGGAUUUAUCACAGUAUUUGUUCUAAUCAGCAGGAAAUGUUUAUCUAUGAAAAAGUUCUUGUCAUAUAUUGUCAAUGAGUUAUAUAUCUCCACUUUGUGUAUAGGGAACCCUAUUCUUUUCCACUACCUGACACAAAUGCCCUGUGCUUCACCCCAGAUUCCUGUGUAGGGAUUAUUCUGUGGUCACAUGGGAGGCAAGUCAGAAGAAAGAUAUUACUUUGGUGCUAUUCUCUGUGGGCUGAUUCAUUUUCUUUGUCUUUAUUUUGCACAUUUGUAACCCUAUGCUAAACUGUGAUAUUCUUCAUGCUAGUAUAAAACAGCAUCCCUCCUUCAUCCUUCCAAAUACACUUCUUAACAACGGAUGCCAUUCCACAAAGUGAAUUUUGUAGAAAAGGGGAAUUAAGCAUUAAGUAUAUCAGAUUAUUUAGAGCACAGCUAAUAUAAGACAUGAAGCAAAGUUGAGCUAUAUUAAUUGCUGAUGGUGGUUUUAAAUAGAUGUGUAGCUAAGCACCACCACACCAUUCUUUCAUUCCCCCCCCCCUUCAAAAAAAGGACAAGGGGGAUAAAAUAUGAUGAAAAAAGGCUCACGGAUCGAGAUAAGGAUGGGGAGAUACCUCACCAGGUACUAUCACAGGCAAUGCAGACUGAGGGAGACUAAUGUAAUUUAUUGCCUAUUACUAAUGGAAUAAAGCACUGAGAAACUGAAUGCAAAACUAUACAUGCCUGGGCGCUGCAGUCAGUCCAUGAUGCUUCAUCUCUCCUGCUUGUCCGUGGCCACUCUCUGCCUGUGCUCUAUAUGGGGUCCCUCCCACAGGAUACCAUCCUUCACAAGCUGAUCUUGCCUGGGCUUCCCACAGGCUGCAGCUCUCCAAGCACUGCUCCAACAUGGCUCUGUACCACAGGGCCCACCCUUCAGGACUGCACUGCUCCAGCACAGCUUCCCACGGAUGGCAGCUCCCCCAGCCCUCCUGCCCCUCUGUGGGCUCCUCUCCUUGGGCUGGUGCUCCCGUGAAGGUAUCCAUGGGCAGCAGCCUCCUCCAGGCCUCAUCCACUGCUGCACAGUGGGCUCCUCCAUGGCUGCACGUGGAGAACUGCUGAUGUGUUACAUUUCUGUUUAGAGUCAUUGCAAUUGUACAUCCAUUUCAGUAAUCAUAUCAUAUAACUCUCAUAUCAUAACUCUCAUAUUUUUUUUAAUGGAAUUUUUUUUUCAUACUAGGGAGACUGAAGUCUUCCUUUGCUUUUCUGGUGGAUGUUGUGAAGAAUAUGGAGUACUGUGUGAUGUAGUUCGUGUGGAAUCAUGGAAAAUAGCAUGAGAUGUCCUUCACUGUGUUUGAGCUGGAAUCAAUUGUCCUUGUGACAUUUCUGGCAGAUGUUUGUCUAAUCUGUUCUUAAAAAGCUCCACUAAUGAUAAUUUGCCAGUCACCCUUGGCAAUCUUUUCCAAUGCCCAACCACCCUUGACAAAAGAAAGACUUUUCCUUACAGUUAGUCUUACUACAGGGCUCAAGUAUGAACAGGCCUAAAUGUUUACUGUAGUUCAUUUGUUUUGGUUUGGUUUGUGGGCUUCUUUGGCCUUGACAACGCCCUUGACUCUGCUCACGUGAAUCUUAGUCUGCUGGUGAGAUGUGUGGUGUCUUCUAAAAUAGUCUCUGGGUGCAGGCAUUUCUUUGCUACACAGCAUGCACAUGCUCUUGUGCUCUCUUGAGAAUUUCUUUUUCUUUUAUUUAUCUUUCAACUUUCUUUCACAUGCAUAAUAAUUGACUGUUAUUUGCUUGGAAUUUUUUAAGCCUGUUUUGUGAGUGUGAACCUCUAUACUUGUCGGACUCUUCCAAACAGAUUCUCGCACCUUCUGAAAUGAUCUGUGGAAGUCAAGUUAGAACAUGCCCUGACUCUUUCAGACUAAAUGCUUUAGAUUUAACUUCCAUGCAAGCCAGGCCAGAAAUCCCCCAGAUUUGGGGAGAGAAUAUCUGCUUGGGACUUGUCCAGCCAGCGCUUUGGACUGUAGCAGAUACGUACACACAAACCUUGAAACUCAAGUUGUUCCUCUUUCCCUAAGAUGAACUGGAAUUACAAGUUCUCGACCUGCAUUCUUAUUCCUUUUUUUUUUUUUUUUUUGAGGACAUUAGGUGCAGAGGGUCUAGGAGAUGGCGCAAAAAUACUUUUUUUACCUACAGACUGUGUGCCUCCUUGUUUAUUGUGCUAUGGAAACUACGCCUCUGUUCUGUAAAGGUGCACAGCUUGUAGAUGUUUCUCUCGGUAGCCCAAUUUACUUCUUGGAAAUUAUAACAGCUUGGUAAGAAGAGCAGUUCGUCAAGGAAGGUGUAAGUUCUUCCUGGGGAGUCUCUCUGAGAGAAUCUCUCUUGAAACACCAGACCACCAUUUUCUUGAGGUUUUUUGUGAAUACGGAGAUUUUUUUGUUUAUUUGUUUUUGUGACUUCUUUUCAUAACAAGAAGAACCUGCAACACUUUCAGUGUAACAGACAUGUAAAAAAUUUGUUCUAUUGGAAGCUUAAUAGUUCAUUAUAAAUUGGUUCCAAGGGGCAGAUGUUUUAACAGCCUGCACUGAAUUUUACCUGCAAAAGGCCCAUGUAAAAUACUUCAGCCAUGUGCCAUAGUUUUUAUUGUGAGAAGGCGUACUCCACUGAAUUGGUUAUUAAAGUGCACAGCAUUGAGUGCUGUCUUCUCAUUACAUAAAAGAUUUUGUAUGUAGUUACUAGGCUUCAUUACCUGGGUUUUAAAUAGAUGUGUAGGGCAUUUGGAUCAGUUGUCACCAUCCAAGAACAACUCUUGAAAUGAAGGCGAGCAAUUUGUGCUUAAUGUAGUAGAAAAAGGGGGAGCCCAUAAGAGGGCUGGCAGGAUGAAAUAGGGGGAAUGUGCUUGAGGCAGUAAUCCAGAAAGAUGAUUUUUGCAUUUGCAUUUUGAAUGGAUUUCAGGGGACAAGAUUGCUUCUGUCAUGGGCAGGAGGAAGGAGAUUAUCUCACAUCUCAGCUGCAGUAAUAAGGGCCAGGAUGAACGUUCUGGUUUUAUGAAUAGGAAUAGAAGGCAAGGUGCUGAAGUUGCUAAAGCAGGCAAGAUUCUGAGUCAGAGUUGAUAUCCUGGUGCCAUCAGAAGGGCAAUAGUGACUGAAAGAGGAGAGGUUGCAGGGCAGCUGCAUGAUUCCAUUGCAUCAGAGUGUGUUUCUGUUGAACUAUAGGCAGUUCACAGGGGGAAUUAAGCAUUCAAAUGUCUGUACCUUGACAUUGUAUUGUUGUAUCACAUUUUUGUCUAAAUUCUACAGUAUGUUUACAAACUCAGAUUUGCGACUUGCUGUGGUUGUGCCACAGAAUAGUAUAGCAUUCUCCUCUGUAGAUUGGGAAGGUAAACAGACUACACCUUCCUUCCAUGAGCAUUGCAUUUCAUCCCCCCAAUAAGGGAAAUAAUGUGUACAAAAAUCUAACUGUAGUGCCUAAGCUGUGAAAAAGAAUGGGUUGCUACUUUGGAUAAGGUAAAGUAUUCUGUGCUAUGGCUAAAAUAGUGGGUUUUUUUUUUGAGCAUUAGGAAGAAAAACUGAAAAUUUUCUUAGUAACCAAACACAUUUCUUAAAACUCAUUGCUUACAGAAAAGCUCAUUUUUCAGUAAGAGUUCAAACUCUCUUUUUACUUAUCCUAUUUUAAUCUCUAUUUCCUGUUUGUUUUCAUCAUUUGUAGGCUGGGAAGAAAGCUGCUGUGUCUUAUGGAUUUUCCACAGUACUGUUUCUAUUUCUGCUAUGAGAAUUUAGCCUUUAAGGCUGUACAACAAAAGGCCUUUCUUUCUUUGCAGUGCUUUUGGUGGAUGGCAAAGAAGUUAGAACCAAUAGCCAUAAUAGAGGUCAAAAUAGCUGGUUUUCUCAUGACGUUCAUGACAAAUAGUAAACAGAAUAGACAAAAAAAAAAAAAAAAAAAAAAAAAAGUGUGUUAUAGAAAGCUUGUCACCAUGGUGGAAUUAUAAUAAGUCUCAGACAGAUGCAUGGUAAAGAUGGCUGUGAAAGAACCUUUCUGCCAAAGCUGUUUCUUGAUUUGGCCAGGACUUCUAAACUGAUUUACGUUUAAAUCUGAAGAUAUAUGUUGAGUAUUAAAAAUCUUUACUGGAAAUUCUUUUGGCUUAUUAAAAGGACACAUUUUGAAGUAAUAUACUUAAUCAUUUUACUUGCUGGCUUGCCUUCACCCUGUCAGGCAGCUAGGAUUAAGAAAUUCAACUAGUUCUGCUUUAUGGCUUUUCCUCCCACCCUUGCAGAACAGUGCUCUUUUGUUUGGGCUCUUAGCACUUCAGGUGAAAGAUUUUAAAUUCCUACAAACCUGUCUUUCCACUUACUGGAGCAGUUUGUGAAAAUACUACUUUUCACAGCAAGAUUUUAUAAUUACAGUGUAUUCGCUUUCUGUUUUCCUCACACUUUCUCAAAAUACUCAUUUUUUCUGUAGGGGCAUACUUUCAGUGAUAGAUGUACUGUUUUUUUUUUUUUUUUUUUUUUUUCCCCUAUGUGUGUGUGUGGUAACACAGGUCUUUGAUCACCUUGACCGUAAUCUGAAUGAAGCAGGCCUGCUCUGUUUUUUUUUUCCAGCUUUGGGCCUAGUCAGGGCCUGUAGAAUAGUAGAAAAUCUGGAUGCCAUCUGGACAGGAUCUUGCUGCUCAGGCACAAGGGCUGGGAAUCCUGCACCACUCCUCCAGGGAGCGUCAUCUUGUGAUUAUUUUUUUUUAAUUGCACUGUGGGAGAACCCAAAGAUUUUCUCAGGAUUGUGAAAAUACCCAGUCUGCCUUUCCCAAAUGUUCUGAGGCCUCUCUCUCUCAUUUUUUUAUUUUUAUUUUUUUUCCUCCUGAGGAAGGCCGUGAAAAUCACUGCAUAAUGCACUUGGUUAAAACAUUAAUGUAAGAUGUGACUUGAAUAAACCCUGGAGCUAACCUCACAUGAAGCGUGCUUAUUUACUUAAACUGAGCAAAGAAUUAAUAAAGUAUGUUAAUUUAACUGAGGUUUUCCAAUCAACUGAAGACAUUUCUUUAUUCUUGUUGUGAUAAUGAAUAAUUGCAGGGAAUCGUUCUGAAUACUUUUGUAUUUUCUCCUUCUGAAAUACAAAAUCACAAAUGCAUGGGCAGUAUCCAAACAUGUAAUUACUAAAAAAAAUAUUCAAACAAUAUUUGCUUUUUCCUGGGUGUUUGUAUUGGAUUCAGGGUUGCAGAAGAUCCUGUUGUAUAUAUAUGUCAACCACUUCUGUGUCACAAGCAGGUACAUGUUAAGUUCUCAACCCAACUUUACACAGUGCAGCUGAGGACUUCACUUCCUUGAGAAAAUGACGUUAAAAUAUGUCUCUUUCCUGUUGGCCAAAAAAAAAAAAAAAAAAAACCACCCACAGAAAAACAAAAAACGAACAAAAAAAAAAACACAACAAAACAAAACAAAACCCAAAAAACAACCCAGAAAUCAGUAUUUGUAAUUCACAUAUGGAGAUACUGUUAUUUAAAACAUUUUCAACUAUAUCAACUUUCAACAGAAGAUUGAGUAAGGAAGCAUGGCAAUGUGAGGACAGCUCCUUUCUCAGCCCCUCCUGGACGUACCACACAGUAAGGAGCAUGCGUUAACUGCUGGCUGCAAAAACACAGGGAUACCAAGCACCUCAAGUUUUGCUGUAAGGUAAAUUAACUGUGGUCAGCUGUAGACUUCACCUUACUUCCUUAUUACCCUAAGUGCCUUGCACUCAAUGAAUUUACAGUGAAUUUUUAAGUAAUGACUUCUUUAUUAUCUUAUGAAUAACAAAAAGCAAAUCAUCCUUGUUUUGUUGAGGACAAAGCCAACAAAUUCCUGACUUGCCCCUGCUGAAUAUGUCUCUUUUUCAAGCUGUAGCAUGGUUGUGAACAUGGCUUGGAGCUGCUGCCCUCUGCUAAUGACAUCCUCGUUUCCUCCUGCUCCACUUGAGGUUGCAGGACUGAAUUUCCUGUUCAAGAAAAAUGGAACAAAAAUAGGUUGGGGAAUAAAACCAUAUAAAUAGUUUAUAUGGUUGCUCACAAUAGCCUUUUGAUACUGUGUUAUCAUUUGUAAUAUUGGAAGUGUUUUUACUUUUGUAACAUUCAAAACAGGGUAUUUCUGGUGGUUAAAUUUCGGUGUAAUUAGAGGUCUGGAAGGGAACUGUUCAAGUGUCUGCUUCCAGUGUGCUAACACAGCACAUUUGUUCUGGUAUGAUAAUCUUGUCAUACUGUUAUGUGAACUGUCAGAUUGAUAGGUGAAGGUUUUCCUGUAAUCUGAAGGAUGGUGUUUUUUUCUUAUUUUCAAGUAUAUUUUUAAGAGAUUUCUCUGUCUUUUCAAAUAUCUGACAUGAUCUUUCAGUGGGACAGCACUGUAGGCUUCCCUCAGAGUAGAAGAGCCUUGUACAUUGCCACCAUUAACAACUGUUAAUGCAUUCUGCUAAGCAAGACAGUGAGCAUUAAUACAUGAUCUGCUAAUAUGUGCAGGCAGAAGGUUCUUCUGUUCAUAGGACAGUAAUUGUCAAAAUGAAAGCCACUGGUUUGUGCUUCCUAUUUCUCACCAGAAGCUUUUGUGAUCCAGACUGUGUAAUUAUACCUAAAGGAGAGCUGCCCCAAUUUGUCACUGAAGUAGCUGUAGAGAUGUGGGCUGAAGUCACGAGGGAAGAACGAGAAUGCUGUAGCAUUAAAGUUCAUUUGUAAGUUUGAGGUGAUGACUGCUCAUGAUCCACCAGCUUUUUACCAAGGCUCAAAAUGUUUUGCAACAAUCAAGCUUACUUCAGCUUUCUUUGUAUUAACACCUGAGUUGAAGGAGUUAUCUAUUUGCCAAUAUCUUGUUUUCUUAGGAUAAUCUUGCCUAAAAUUGUAUUUCAGUGUGAGUGGAUUUUUUAUUUCUUUCUACUUUCUUGCUGCAGGCCAAGGAUGGGCACUGACAUUUUCUGGAUAUGAAGUAGAUGAUUGUUCUGUAUUCAAUGAUAUUAUUUUGGGCUGAUGAGGCGUUAAUAAGGGCAAAUACUGCUAGAUAUCAUCUGAUGGUAGAAAGGAAUGCAUAAGUCAUGAUUCCUUUGGCUUCUAUUUUUAGGACUUGAAUUUUCAUCGGCUUUAAAAACUUUUAUUGUUGAUCUGAUUUUUAUUGUUUAGCUUGCAAAUUUGUGUUGUUACAUGUUUAACUUCCAUAUCCAUUAGCUAAUUUCUCUUUCUUUAGAUUCUUUAGGUGCUUGAAGAUGGAAUGAGUCAGUGUUUUGCAGGUGAAGGUUUAGACAAGUUAUGGAUAAAAUAAUAAUAAAGACUCUGUCUAGAUUCUUAUCUGGGCACAGUAGAGGCAGAUGGUUGAGAGAUGAAGAUGAAUCUGGGUGGUCUUGAUGUCAGACUGCUGUGAGCAUGAAUGCUCACAGCUGGGGGACGGGGAGAGAAAAAAGAUCCUGAAAUUCUGAAACAAGCCUAUUAGUCCUUAGUUUCGCAGUGCAAGGAACCUAUCUUACCUGAAAAGUUCUUCAGCUAGCUAUUUUAGCAUUGCUUAUCUUAAAAGCAGAACCAGAUAACUGUAAUGCAGUCAGGAAUACCUAGCUUAUUGUGGGGGUAUAAAAACCGAUAGAAGAGUAGAGGUUUUCUGGAAGCUAAGCCUCUUCACUCCUCCCAUACUUUUAUUUGUUUUAUUAACAAAUCAGAGCUUUAACAAAUUAAGCUUGGAGCAUUUCGGUGGUAUGGAGAAGUUUAUGGAGAAGUGCAUUACUAGAGCUGUAACUGAAGUGAUUUCAUAGUUUAUUUUUAGACUCCCUGGAUUUAAGCUUGCUAAUUGAGGGUGAGGGUGAGAAGGGAAGGUUUGCUUGCAGUUGGGUUAAGCCAAGGUUAUCUCUAUUUGCCCCCAGCCUAGAAGAGCUGGCAGAAGAAUUUACUGAACCUCAUGAACUUGUAUAAACCUGGCCUGUAACACCCCUUACCCACCCACACCCCCUUCAAGCUUUUUCAGCCUCCCGCUCCAGCCAGCUUCACUAAUAAGCACACCACGAUCCUGGCCAGCCCAUGCUGGGAGGAUAUUAAAUAUUUUUUAGCCUAAAACUCCUGCUCCCUGCUCCUCUUUAAUUUUCGUAUCCACCCGUUAUGCUUCUGCACACUGCAGGGAAGAACACUGUCAUUCUCUCUUAUCUUGUUGGCUAUGAGGGCAGUUUCACAAUGUCUCUAUGUCUCAGCUUUUCACCUACCACAGAGUUAAUGCCUUAAAUUGGGCGAAAUCUAGCACUCCUUUUCCCAGACAAAGGUUUUAUUGAAAUCUUUAGGAACUGCAGCUGGGACUUAGUGAGAUUGCAGGCAGUGGUAUUUAAAAGAGGUUUCCAUAAUGAUUUGAUUCGAUGAAGUAACUUUUUUUUUUUCUUAGUGGAAGUAGCUUAAUCAGGACCGUGCUUUCAAGUCUGAGGGUGUCUCUAGCAAACAGUUAACUGAGAGGAUGUUUGAAACGUCUCAUUUAGCAUUUUCUUGUCUUGAUGCAUGGGUUCCCAGUCAUUUCCACUCUUUAUAUUCCGUUUAAAGGCAAACUCCAGCAAUGAUGCAGUUUGUUUCACCUUUCCCCUUAAAUAUCAGACUAGACGGUUUCAGAAGGGAUAGCAACAAGACAAACCAGUAUCCUUCUGGAAGGAGAAGUUAUGACAGCCUGUUAUCAGAUGCAGCUGGUUGUGUGCAAGUGAUGUGAUGAAAGAAACAGCCUGUCUGAUAUUGAUUUUACAGCACUAAUAAAAGAUUUGGGUUCAGGGAUGGCUUUGAAACUUCCUUUCCAUUGCAUGCUCAUUCACAUAUGCAUGCAUUCUCUCACUUGGAUUGAUGAAGUAACAAAAAGGUUAAAAUUACUUUUUUAGGAGGAGGUGGGAAUCAAUUGGGGUGAGUGUAGCUGCUGAGCCUCUGGAGACAACACAGUAGUAAGCUAAAUUGUCAAUGAAAAGGGAAUUGCCCUGUGAAGUAGUUAGUACUGAUACACCAGUGUGGAUUUUCACAGGAAAUACUCUGUCAACCUAUUGCCUGUAGAGAUCCUCUGUAUUGAUGGUAAAAAUAUAGUAGAGGUGCAUUUAUUUUAAGAUUUCAAAGAAGUUGAUGAGAGGAUCUGUCAAAACCCAUCAGAAUAUCGUGUCUGCUCCUAAAAAGGGUGUGCCAUGUGUCUCGUGCAGGGAGGUGUAGUGGUUUAAUACUGUUGAGCUGCUCAGUUCCACUAUUCCAUUAUUCUGCUCUCUUACUCCUUCUCCUCAGAAGGACAGGCCAUAUCCACCAUGGCCCUCUCCAUGGGCUUCAGCUUGCUGUGGAGGCUCUCCAUGAGCUGUGGCCUACUUCAGGACACAUCCACUGCUGCACCGUGGGCUUCUCCAUGAUCCCUGUGGUGCCCAUGGGCUGCGGGGGGAUGUCCUGCUCCACCAUGGGCCUCUCCUGGGCUGCAGAAAACUUCUGCUCCACACCUGGAACUCCUCCCACCCUCCUUCUGCACUGACCUUGAUGGCUGAAGGGCUGUUUCUCUCAAUAUUUGUCACUCCUCUCUCCCACCUGCUGUUGCCCAGCAGUUUUCUCCUUCCUUAGAUCUGCUCUUACAGAGGCACAACCAGCAUCACUCAUGGCUGGGCUCUGGGCAGUGAUGUGGAGGAUGUGCCCCUUGUGGAGCAGCUGGGGAUGUCUCUGAUCUGACAUGGGGCAGCUAAGGGGCUCUGCUCACAUAGUCUAUCACUGCAACUUCCUUCCCUGCUGCCAAAAUCUUGUCACCUAAACAAAGUACAGUUAGUGCUGGAACGAAAGCAAAUUUAGAGAACUGAAGUAGAGCAGAUAUACUGGUUUCUUAUUAAAGAGUUUAAAGAGAAUAUUAAAGUAAAACCUCUAAGAUAAAUUUGAAAUGAUGCCGCCAUUGACAGACAUUCAUUUCUGUCUGAGAUAUCAUACAUGAUGGGAUAAUAAGAAAGGCCAUGCUCAUGGUAUGUUCUUUUAUCUUUUGCUUUUUCACUUGUGAUUAAAAGAAGUGUCCAGGUAUCUUUGUGAGCCUUGUGCAUGGGUUGCAGUUUCAGAUUUGACCCUUGUGUUCUGUUCCAACUGCAGCAGGGGAUUCAUCCUCUAGAAAGUUGUCUUUUUUAAAAUCAGAUUUAAGGGCAAUCUAAACAUCUGGUAGCUGGAGGGAAGCAGGAGAGCAAAUUACUUCUAGUUGGACUGUGGUGAGGCCACAGACCCAUCUUGCAUUUAGCAAGGAUAUUUUGUGGUGGGAAGAGGUGGAGGCAGAAGCUGAGUACUGAGGCCAGUGCAGAGGCCACAACAUUUCGGCUGUGGCAGGUUGGUAUAAUGUCUUCUGUAAUUUACUGGUGCCUUGUGUGUAUGUCUUCUCCAGUGGGCUUAAAAAAGGUUUGCAUCUAACUGCUGGGUCUCUCAGAAGAAGCCACUUGAGCACGUGUUGUUAUGUUUCCCUCUGGAAACCUUGAUGAGCCUCUCUGUCUUGGUUGCUGACUCCACCAGUCCUCUUGGCAUAGUUGCCUUGCCUCUGUCAGCUUGGUGAUUUCCUAGGGCAGGCACUACUGGCAAUGACUUGUGCAAAAGGUGUAUGGCUAGAACAGUGCUCCUGGCCACUUACACAUGUAUUUAACUUCAGUUCAUCAAGGCCCAAUAAAUGAAGCUACUAGAACUAUACAAUAAAAAUACACUUGAUUUUACAUAGAAACACCUUUUAAAUACUAAGCCAUGCCUGGACAUAAAGUAUUAAAACAAACAAACAAACAAAAAACACAGCAAAACACAAAGAAAUGAACAAAACACUGCUGGAUGUUUCCAAGGUAUGCAUAUGUGUAUGGUCUAGGACAAGUGCCCAAUUGCACAAUCAGGAAAAAUAAGUCUCUUGUGUUAGGAUGGGCUAUAUUUUAUUUCAGACAAUCGUAUCUACGUCUUUUGGUGUUAAUCUGUGCCAAGAUUUCUGUUUGUGGUUUCCAUGUGUUCUCGCAUCGUGUCAUUUCAUCUCCGGAGUUGUUUUUUUUUUUUUUUAUUGUCAUACUCAACUUUUUGUUUCAGAUGUGUAACGUUCUUCCUUUUUUUCAUGUCCCAAAAUAAAGCCUCUGUUUUGAUUUGCUUUUUGUAUUUUCUUGGUGAUGUCAACUGAACCGAAUGUGAUGGACUAGUGGUUGAGUUUCUGUUGCUCAGCUUUUUUUUUUUUUGUUACAUUGAUUUUUACAGUGUAAUUUCUACAACAAUUAACAUUCCUCCAGGCUGAGAAUAGCUCUAAUGGAAGCCUGUUUGUGACCUGAGAGAGCAGCAGAAGUGGUCUGGGAGUAGAAAGCUUAAACCAUGAGGUUAAACAGGUCAAAUGAGAAGAAACAGUCAGUUGAAAGAAGUGAAUAGUAUAGGGGAUUAGCAGAAGGGAGGAAGAUUAGUGGCUGGGUUUUGCUGUGAUUGUUACUUAUGUGUAGGUAAAUGGUCUUUGUUCUGUCAUCAACAUUUAGAAGGAUUUUUUUUUUUUUUUCCUAAAGCCUAUAUUGUUGUUUUGUCGAAAUAUAAAAGCUCUGGCCAUUUUUUUCCUUUCCCACAUAGCUCUGAUUUGGAGAGAUUCUGCUCUCACUAGGCAUAGUUUUUUUUCAGACUUCUGUUCAUCAUACAGAAAAUGCCUUAUUUUGGCAAAGACAGCUAAGGACUUGCAAUAUGCCUGUUGCUUUCUCACAGGUGCAUAUGAACCCAAUUUCAAUAGUGAGACAGCACAAAUGUUGCCAGCUUGUUUUACUUUUGCCAUGUACAAGUAGAGUUCAAGACCAGAUAGAGGAAAUGCUGUGUUGACCGGUGCUUGACACUGAAAUGUUUUUGAUUCUUGGCUUGAUUAGUUAGUUGUCUUUAUCUAGUGACACAGAUUUAUUGUCUGUGAUGGUGAAACCAAUUUUUCAAUUGUACAUUUUUACAAAUGAAUACCACAGAGGGCUAAAUCCCUGUGAUUCAUACUACUGCUUUGAAAAGUGACAAUAAGCUAAGUCUUUUCUGGUACACUGUGGCUGAAGCAUCUUAGCAGUGGGUUUUGGGAACAAGCAAAAUUGAAAUGUACAUUACACUGAUUUCUUGUAUUCUUUGUAGGUGCCUUCCCCCAUAUUUAGAUAUUUUGGACAAGCUAAGAGUAUAAAUCUGUACUGUAUGUGACAUAAGAUUGAGAACAGGGUGGCGCAAAGCUAUAUGGGUUUCUUUAGCUCUCCUCAGAGAUUAUGUGCAGUCCAGUGCAAGUUUAACACAGGAUGUUCAGGGUUGUUGCUUCAGAUUGCCUGCAGUGGGAUGUACUGUUCUUUCUAUCCUCUAACGAACAGAAACAAGAAUCAGGUUCUUUUCUAAAAAUCAUCUUAUUUUUGCUAAUCUGUGAUACUGUGCUAAUGGUUUUCCAUUUUGUACGGAAGCAUCUUUCCUUGUCUUGUUAUGUGUAAGGAUAAUGAGUAAUGAGGAAAUGGCUUCAGAGGUGAUAAAGGACAUUACGAAAGUCCUGCUGUGUGUUAACUGUAAGCUAAAUUGUGUUCAGCUCAUCAGCCUAAGGCACAGCUCUCCUGCUGUGUUUCAUCCUUCCUUCCUCCAUUCUCUGUUUUCUGAUAAGCUUUGCAGUCUGGUCUUUGCCAAGAAAGCAUAAAGCAUUGGAAGGAAAAUGGGACUUGAUUGUCUUUAAUGGAGGGUUGGGAAGGCGUGGAGGGAGAAAGAGAAUUAAGGUUUUAAUACUAAGAGCCAGCAUUGAUUCUGAAUGCUUUUAAGGUUGUUCUGAUAAAACUAUUUCAAAAACAACUCCUUCAGAAAUACUGGUGAUCUUAACAAAAUACUGUGAUGGUUGGCAAAAUACUGUGAUGACUGGCAUGCUUUUCUGUGAAAUAUGAACCCCACAGUAGCUAACACAGAGGCCAUUAUAAACCUUUGCCUCCUAAACAUCCAACUGAUAAGCAAAAACAUUAAAAAUAAAUUAAAAAAAAAAAA